rnacentral:rRNA from 1 species
ACGUCGUGAGACAGUUCGGUCUCUAUCCAGUGUGGGCGUUAGGAAGUUUGAAGGGAGUUGUCCUUAGUACGAGAGGACCAGGACAAACGAACCUCUGGUGUUCCAGCUGUCCUGCCAAGGGCAAAGGCUGGGUAGUCAUGUUCGGAAGAGAUAAGCGCUGAAGGCAUAUAAGCGCCAAGCUCGCCCUAAGAAUAGACUUCCCUCUUGUAGCAAUACAAGAAUAGACACCCGGUAGACUACCGGGUUGAUAGGUCCUAAGUGUAAGAUCCGUAAGGAUUUCAGCUUAAAGGAUACUAAUUGUCAAUCGGCUUGGCCG